CUUACUUUAGAUUAAAAAUUUUAAAAUCAUGAAUGAAAAUGCUAAUAAAUUGAGAAGUCAUUUUCAUUUGAAGAAGUCUAUUUUUAUUCAUAGGCCUGCUAUUAAUGUCUCACAUGAUUGUGAGAAUGUGAACUGAAACUGUCCACGUGAACUUGGAAUUCCGAAUAAGCGUGAGUCACAUUGUGAGAAUCACAUUACGUGAGCCGCAUUGAUUACAUCUCUGCUCUCUGCACACACCGCUCGUCGCUACUGAUGAUUGAAUUAUUUGUAUAUAGUGGACCGAACUUCAUUAUUUAGAGGAAGGAAAAGCCGUAACAAAUUGUCACUUCCAUCAUUA
rnacentral:ncRNA from 1 species